UCCCGCGUAGCACAAUCGGUAGUUGCGCCUGACUGUUAAUCAGGAUGUUGUUGGUUCGAGUCCAGCCGUGGGAGC
rnacentral:tRNA from 1 species